rnacentral:tRNA from 1 species
GGGGUUGUAGCUCAAGUGGUAGAGUGCUCAACUAGUACAUGUGAGGCACUGAGUUCGAUCCUCAGCACCCCA